rnacentral:rRNA from 1 species
UACAUGCAGGGUACCCCUACAUGGAUAACCGUAGUAAUUCUAGAGCUAAUACAUGCAACAAAGCACUUAUUGGAAUGACCAGCUCGGCUUUGCCGAAUUUGGUGAGUCACAAUGAUUGAGUAAAUCGCCUUGCGAUAAUUCAUUCGAGCUUCUGCCCUAUCAGCUGUCGAUGGUAGGGUAUUGGCCUACCAUGGCCUUCACGGGUAACGGGGAAAGAGGGUUCAUUUCCGG